rnacentral:rRNA from 1 species
CGCUGGCGGCGUGCUUAACACAUGCAAGUCGAACGAGAACGGAACUAGCUUGCUAGUUUGUCAGCUAAGUGGCGCACGGGUGAGUAAUAUAUAGGUAAUGUGCCCUAGAGAAGAGGAUAACAGUUGGAAACGACUGCUAAGACUCUAUAUGCCUUUAAGACAGAAGUCUGCAAGGGAAAUAUUUAUAGCUCUAGGAUCGGCCUGUACGGUAUCAGCUUGUUGGUGAGGUAAUGGCUCACCAAGGCAAUGACGCCUAACUGGUUUGAGAGGAUGAUCAGUCACACUGGAACUGAGACACGGUCCAGACUCCUACGGGAGGCAGCAGUGGGGAAUAUUGCACAAUGGGGGAAACCCUGAUGCAGCAACGCCGCGUGGAGGAUGACACAUUUCGGUGCGUAAACUCCUUUUAUAUAGGAAGAUAAUGACGGUACUAUAUGAAUAAGCGCCGGCUAACUCCGUGCCAGCAGCCGCGGUAAUACGGAGGGCGCAAGCGUUACUCGGAAUCACUGGGCGUAAAGAGCGUGUAGGCGGGUGAAUAAGUUUGAAGUGAAAUCCUAUAGCUCAACUAUAGAACUGCUUUGAAAACUGUUUACCUAGAAUAUGGGAGAGGUAGAUGGAAUUUCUGGUGUAGGGGUAAAAUCCGUAGAGAUCAGAAGGAAUACCGAUUGCGAAGGCGAUCUACUGGAACAUUAUUGACGCUGAGACGCGAAAGCGUGGGGAGCAAACAGGAUUAGAUACCCUGGUAGUCCACGCCCUAAACGAUGUACACUAGUUGUUGUGAGGCUAGACCUUGCAGUAAUGCAGUAAACACAUUAAGUGUACCGCCUGGGGAGUACGGUCGCAAGAUUAAAAC